GAUGAACGCUAGCGGGAGGCCUAACACAUGCAAGCCGAGCGGUAUUGUUUCUUCGGAAAUGAGAGAGCGGCGUACGGGUGCGGAACACGUGUGCAACCUGCCUUUAUCUGGGGGAUAGCCUUUCGAAAGGAAGAUUAAUACUCCAUAAUAUAUUGAACGGCAUCGUUUAAUAUUGAAAGCUCCGGCGGAUAGAGAUGGGCACGCGCAAGAUUAGCUAGUUGGUGAGGUAACGGCUCACCAAGGCGAUGAUCUUUAGGGGGCCUGAGAGGGUGAUCCCCCACACUGGUACUGAGACACGGACCAGACUCCUACGGGAGGCAGCAGUGAGGAAUAUUGGUCAAUGGGUGCAAGCCUGAACCAGCCAUCCCGCGUGAAGGACGACUGCCCUAUGGGUUGUAAACUUCUUUUGUAUAGGGAUAAACCUACCCUCGUGAGGGUAGCUGAAGGUACUAUACGAAUAAGCACCGGCUAACUCCGUGCCAGCAGCCGCGGUAAAGUGACG
rnacentral:rRNA from 1 species